rnacentral:misc_RNA from 1 species
CUCCUGCCCAGGGGUGCUGUUUUCCCCAGCGGUGCUGUUCUCCCCAACGGCGCCGUCCUACCCAGUGGCGCCGUGCGCCCCAACUCUCCGGGAACUCUCGUGUCAUCUUCACCAUUCGGCAUUAUUUCCUCCUCGUCCUGCGUUUCGUCAUUGAAAUCGAACUGCGCGUUGCUCAAUAGAGUCUUCAGAAAAACAUCCCAGCGGGUCCGGCUCGCAAACUUCGUCUUUGAAUAACCGUAAUCGAAAUAGGCUUGGGACUGCGCCUUCUGCAGGAUAUCGAUGU